CGAGUGUUACCAGGCCAAUGCCCGGUGCUCAGAGAACUGUAGAUGUCGACAUUGCAAGAACUUUGAAGGAAGCCAAGAUAUAAAACAGACAACCAAUGCGACUGUUGAUCUCGCCAUCGACCUUCCUCAAUCAAGAAAGAUCAAGGCAGCUUCACAUUCAGUAGCAGAUAGAGGUUCAUCUGCGGUUCCACACGUCCAAGACCAGACGGUAAACCCCUUUGUGUUUGAUGUGAUGGUUCUCAUGCUCUUUAGCUUCACUUUGUGCGUUUAAUGCAUAGUUCUUUGUGUGUGUGUUUUCUUGUUCAAACUAGGUGAAUUACGUUGGAAGGAAUGGUGACACUUCUUUAUUCACAGUCCCUAACAACAGAGUGGUAUCGGGAUCUACCGCACCUACUUACAGUUACAGGUUAGUGAUAUCAAAUCCUUCCUCUGUAUGAUAUGCACAUUCGAAACUACAGUGAUACCAUCUUAAGGUUUUGUCUGGUUGUUGACUUGUAUAGGUCCUCACAGUCCGAUACUAACCAGCUGCGCCAUGCCAAAGAGCUAUGCUCACUUUUGGUCUCAAAAUCGGUGGAGGUAGCAAAUAGAAUGUCAGGUACAGACAAAAAGAGGAAAGCCGAGAAAGACUCUUCACUUGAUUCAGCUCAGAGAGAUGCUAAUGUGAUGAAUGACUCUCCAGAUUGUGUCCUUGACGCUGGUAGAAUGGACGAGAAACCUAUGUCUCCAGCAACACGCGCAUUGAUGUGUGAUGAAGAACUUGUGACCAUAUCAGAGAAAGAGACAUCAGCGAGAGUGAGAACAAGCCAAGAGAAAGAAGACACAGACACAAGCUCGGAGGUUUACGCAGAACAAGAAAAUCAGAUCUUGUCAAGCUUCAGGGACCAUCUUAUGCAGCUCUUUAACCGUGGGAGCAUAAAUGGUAAAGCUGAUAUUUUUACUCGAGAGAUCAUAUCCUUUGUGCAUAAAUUUAGAGCGAGGAGAUGUGUUUGGUUUUGCAGGAACAAACAUCCAAAAGGCCAACACAGAUCCGAGUAGAAAGGAACCAGAGGAUGAAGAGCAGAGCCAUGGAGACUCAAGUUUGGGUUCUUAGGGAACUUCUGUGACAAAACUUUAGCAUCUAACUCUUUUUGUAACAUAUGAUCAUGUGACAUUGUUCUAAAAGUUGUAUAGGAAGAUCAGACUAGUUCCUUCUGGUCAAAUAUAAACUCUUCUUUUAUCUACUGAUUAGUAAGAAAUUCAAUUCAUUUGAUUUUGUCAAUACAAUAAAUGUGCCUUUCACAAACCCAGCACGAAAACACCUCAAAAAAAAAUUAUGUGGUUUGUGUAGGUUUUAUAAAAGAGUGGUUGAAAACUCUUUUACGUUCGGUAUGAGCAACAUAUGCCAUGUUUUGGAGGUUUAUGCUUUUUUGAACUCACCACAUACACUAGUCCCAAAAAUCUAAUUUGUCUUAUACAACAAUGGACAUGCACCAGUAGAAAUAGUAGUGUAUUCAUCUUGUCAUCCUCUAUACAAAAGCAGAAAUAUACAUUUUCUUUUCUUUUUACAAGAAGAAAGAGAAUAAAAAAGAGAGAUAUGAAUAUGAUUUCCUUAUGUCGACAAUUUUACCCUACUUAACAAUAUCACAGAUAAUCAUAAAAAAUGUGUUGGGAGUAAAGUACGGGCUAUAUAUCUAGAAUUAAACAAUAAUAAAUAUUAAAAAUGGUUUUUGGAAUUAAGAAUAUAAAUCAAGAAAACGUUUAAUAUAUAUUUUUGAAACAUUAAAACAUCACUACUUAUUUUUGUUAAUUAAAACAUCACUAGUUAUUUUUGUUAUUUAAAAAAUUAAACAUUAUUAAUUAUUUACGUAACCAAUAAAAAAUAAAAUGUAGAGUAUAAAUAUUUUAAAUAUAUAAAAAGAGAAAAUUUUAUAUUAAAAUUUUAAAAUAUCAUAUAAAUUAAUAUAUUUUUGAGACGUUUAAAUAAAUAAAAAGAAGAAAGAUGAUGUAUAAAAUAAAGUGGCUUAACUAACAAAAACAAAACGUUGACUAAAACACGUAGAUAAAAGCCAUAACCAACAAUAAGUCAAUAAGCACUUAAGCAGGUAGGUAGCAAAUUGUUCGGCACUGAACGUGCUACGUGCAUCCUAGCCACACUAACAUAAUAAAAACAGAACAUCCAAAUCUGUUUCCUCGGAACGAUCACCGGACUACAUGGAAACGUUGAGUAACGAAACCAAUGAGCUCAGAUCGGAGUUUCUCCACAUUCUUCCAUGUCAACGAUUAUCCAAAGGUUACAAUAUCUUCUCUUUUAAUAUUUGCAUCUUUCCUCAUUACUCAUCUCUGUAGAUUUUAUUUCUUGCAGUUCUUGUAAAGAACUGUCUAUUAUUUCUUCUUGUUUCCAAUCUCCUAAUCACCGGAGCUAUAGAAACGCACGAAGCUGUUGACUUUCGAUCUGAGUUUCUCCGAGUUCUUCUUAGUCGACGAUUAGGCCAAGGUUCAUUUAAUGAUUUUAUUAUUAAGAAACCUUCUUUUUAAAAAAAUUAUCUUCAUAACCACAGAUUAAAUGAUUAACUUCCUUUUUUUUAAUGAUUAACUUCCUUAAUUAACUUCCAAAACUUGAUUAAAUAUUUGGGAACCUUAUGCAUCCAGUUCCAUUGGUAGCUAAGUGUUCAAAGCCAGUGGCCAAUCCUAUCUUUCAAAGUGCUAUUCCAUCUACAGCAGUGAGAUAUUAUUAUUCUUCAAUCUUUUUUUUGCUUACAUAUAUUUAAUAUUUAUAAAAAGAAAAUUCAUUAUCUUCAUUACCAAACCAACCAGGCACUAGAGUCUUGUCCAAAGGAACAUAUUGAUAACUUUAAAGAGAUGCUUAAAGAGGAAAAUAUUCAUUUACACACUGAGGUAAUUUAUUUAUUACACGCCCCUUUCUCUUUCUGAUAAUUUUUCUGUCACACUCCGCUGUAUAAUGGAGAAAUCCGAUCAAGAUUCGGUUUCUAACCGCAACCAUUCGCCGCGCCAAUCAGAUUCCUCCGUCCCCGCGGCUGCUGCGGAGGCGAAGAUGGAUUCUUCUAACGAGAGUGCGAUCAAACAGUCCCAUCCUGUUCUCGAUUCGCAAGAUCGGAGAGAAGAAGACUUGCCUUCUCAUCCUCAUACGCCGCCGUCAAGUUCCGAGAAGCAGCCAUCAGCGACGCAAGACGCCACGCCGCCACAGACACUUCCGGUUCAUCGGUUUGUCACGAAUCUUUGAUUAGUUUCUUGGUUUAAAGAAAUAUUAAAGUUGACCAAAUUGGUUUAGCAUAAACCGUGUAUUAUUCAACCGGUUCAUCUGCAGACUCUGUAACGGAGUUAGUUAGAGUUUUUGAUUUGUUUAUGCAGCAAUCAAGAACCGUUGACGCCACGAGGGCAACAGCAGACGGAAGCUGAGUCCAAUGAUGAUGGUACUCCGAGUAAACAGAGGCGUUGCAAGUGUAAAGCUUCAAGAUGCUUGAAGCUGUAAGUGCUUCAAUGUGAUGGAGAUUGUCAAUGUCAAAUCCCUAGUGACGUUUGGUUGGUUGGUUGAUGUAAUCUUUGUAUAGGUAUUGUGAAUGCUUUGCGUCUGGAUCGUAUUGCAAUGGAUGCAACUGCUUGAAGUGUCAGAACACUUUGGAGAAUGAGGCUGAAAGACAGGAAGCCAUCAAGGCGAUCUUGGAGCGUAAUCCGGGUGCUUUCAAGCGCAAGAUUGGUGCUAGUCCUCAGGUUUUGUCCUCUAAAAAGGCUUUUAACUUUAUACUUUGGCUACAACUUAGUUAGGAGAUGGGACACCACAUGCAUUUGAACGGAAUCAAUUGUUGUUAUAAACUUGUUUAGCUGAAGAAAGAAAGUGUCAUGAGAUGAUUGUGAUGUACUCAUUUUAUCAAUUUAUCCUCGAAAAUGGACUUGGUAGGAGGAUGUGAGCCAACUCGUGACUCUGGGAAAGCACAGCAGAGGGUGCAACUGCAAGAGAUCAGGAUGCCUUAAGAAGUACUGCGAGUGUUACCAGGCCAAUGCCCGGUGCUCAGAGAACUGUAGAUGUCGACAUUGCAAGAACUUUGAAGGAAGCCAAGAUAUAAAACAGACAACCAAUGCGACUGUUGAUCUCGCCAUCGACCUUCCUCAAUCAAGAAAGAUCAAGGCAGCUUCACAUUCAGUAGCAGAUAGAGGUUCAUCUGCGGUUCCACACGUCCAAGACCAGA
rnacentral:lncRNA from 1 species